rnacentral:rRNA from 1 species
CCUACGGGGGGCUGCAGUGGGGAAUAUUGCGCAAUGGGCGAAAGCCUGACGCAGCGACGCCGCGUGAGUGAAGAAGUAAUUCGUUAUGUAAAGCUCUAUCAGCAGGGAAGAAAAUGACGGUACCUGAGUAAGAAUCCCCGGCUAACUACGUGCCAGCAGCCGCGGUAAUACGUAGGGGGCAAGCGUUAUCCGGAUUUACUGGGUGGAAAGGGAGCGUAGACGGCAGGGCAAGUCUGGAGUGAAAGGCGGGGGCUCAACCCCCGGACGGCACUGGAAACUGUACGGCUGGAGUGCAGGAGAGGUAAGUGGAAUUCCUAGUGUAGCGGUGAAAUGCGUAGAUAUUAGGAGGAACACCAGUGGCGAAGGCGGCUUACUGGACUGUAACUGACGUUGAGGCUCGAAAGCGUGGGGAGCAAACAGGAUUAGAUACCCUGGUAGUC